AAGCGGAGGAAAAGAAACCAACCGGGAUUGCCUCAGUAACGGCGAGUGAAGCGGCAAGAGCUCAAAUUUGAAAUCUGGCCCCUCCGGGGUCCGAGUUGUAAUUUGCAGAGGAUGCUUCGGGAGCGGUCCCCGUCUAAGCGCCCUGGAACGGGCCGUCAUAGAGGGUGAGAAUCCCGUCUGGGAUGGGCGGCCGCGCCCGUGUGAAGCGCCUUCGACGAGUCGAGUUGUUUGGGAAUGCAGCUCUAAGUGGGUGGUAAAUUUCAUCUAAAGCUAAAUACUGGCCGGAGACCGAUAGCGCACAAGUAGAGUGAUCGAAAGAUGAAAAGCACUUUGAAAAGAGAGUUAAACAGCACGUGAAAUUGUUGAAAGGGAAGCGUUGUCCACCAGACUCGCCCGGGGGGGUUCAGCCGGCACUCGUGCCGGUGUACUCUCCCCCGGGCGGGCCAGCAUCGGUUUGGGCGGCUGGUGAAAGGCCCCGGGAAUGUAACACCCUCCGGGGUGCCUUAUAGCCCGGGGUGUCAUGCGGCCAGCCUGGACCGAGGCCCGCGCUUCGGCGAGGAUGCUGGCGUAAUGGUGGUCAACGGCCCGUCUUGA
rnacentral:rRNA from 1 species